rnacentral:rRNA from 1 species
UACAGAGGGUGCGAGCGUUAAUCGGAAUUACUGGGCGUAAAGCGCGCGUAGGCGGCUUUGCAAGUCGGGUGUGAAAUCCCCAGGCUUAACCUGGGAACUGCAUUCGAGACUGCAUUGCUAGAGUAUGGGAGAGGGAAGUGGAAUUUCCGGUGUAGCGGUGAAAUGCGUAGAUAUCGGAAGGAACAUCAGUGGCGAAAGCGACUUCCUGGACCGAUACUGACGCUCAUGUGCGAAAGCGUGGGGAGCAAACAGG